UACGGGGGGAGCAAGCGUUGUUCGGAUUUACUGGGCGUAAAGCGCACGUAGGCGGAUUUCUAAGUCAGGGGUGAAAUCCUGGAGCUCAACUCCAGAACUGCCUUUGAUACUGGGAAUCUCGAGUCCGGGAGAGGUGAGUGGAACUGCGAGUGUAGAGGUGAAAUUCGUAGAUAUUCGCAAGAACACCAGUAGCGAAGGCGGCACUCUGGGCCGGUACUGACGCUGAGGAGCGAAAGCGUGGGGAGCGAACAGG
rnacentral:rRNA from 1 species